rnacentral:lncRNA from 1 species
UAGAGAUAUUGAGCAGCUUGCUCAAGGGGCCAGAGUGGGCUUGAGUCAAUGGGUGACUACUGAUACUGAGGCUGGUUUUGGCCUUGUUCACUUUAAUGAAACCAGAGCCUGAGAAAAGAAAAAGAGGGUUGCUAUUGCCCCACAGGGAUCUUGCCAGAUGGCCUAGAGCUUCAGCAUAUGAUGGUAGUCUCUGAGAGAGGGCUGGUCUCUGGUAUGUGUAGAGAUGCUUUCCAUGAGGCCUGAGUAGCUUUGCUGUACCACAGUCACUUCCAAGACUGGGUUGGUGACUUUGAACUCAGGCAGGCCCACAAACCCAGCUCAUUCUCCCAUGGCUACCUGCACAUCCUUACCCUGACAGUGGAGUAGAGACUGUCACUAGAGCUCCUCUAUCAGGCUUUUUACAUAUAUGAUCCUCAUGUAGCCCACAAAUGUCUACCUCUCACAGGAAAACACUCUGGACCAACUAAGGGGUGGUGAGUAGUUUGCCCUUGGGGAAAGGACAGGCUUUCCAUUGUGGCAUCACAGAACUUAUGAGCCAGUCCUUUUGGCCCUGGCCAUAAUUCUGUGUGGCCUCUUACUGGGUUCUGGAGUUCAGAUGUCAACUCCAGAGCUCCGGACAGGCCAUUCUUUCUGUCAUCAAUUCUAUUGGCUCAGUUGGACCACAUGUUGUAUGGAAGAGCUCAUUUUCUCAGUGUCUUUCCCCUGUGCCAAAUGGACAAGUUGCAAUGAGUUGAGGUGUGAUGGGUAGAAGGCUCAGGUCCAGGCAUGCUGGUGGGAGCUGGUUCUGACUCUGAACUCCCAGAGCCUGAUGCCUAGGACAGCAGCAGAGCUACCGAAGCAAAGUUCAUCACUGCAAAUAGUGGCCCCUGAGAAGCCCCCUACUGAUUCUGCUCAGGGUAUCAAAAAGGAAGGGGACAUGUUUUAUACCUGCCUCUCUUUAGUCCCUGGAAACAAGCCAAAAUGCACUUGCCGUCCUCUGACCAGGAAACAGACCUUGAUCUUGGAUAAUACUAAACAUUGUGUUCAUUUGUCCACUUGCUAGAAUGUUUCUCUUUCCUUGUCCAUGUGGAUUGUCUUCCUCAUGUCCUGAAGGAUCCAUGGCCACAUUAGCCCCCACAUCAAAUGUGCAGCACAGAAUUGCUGACACCUGCUGUGUCUGGCUACUCUGACAGUUUAGAAGACACUGUAGUUGAACACCAAGCAGUCUCAUGUGGGUGUUGCAGGGAUAUGGGUGUGGCCCCAGAAACCAUGCAAGAAGAAGCACUGACUAACGUCAAGGAGUGAUACCUUGCCUAAGGCCAUAGGUUCCUGGUGGAGCCCUUGUCCUCAGUGAUGGGCCAGCUGCACUUCUGAAAAAUGGUGGUGUGUGCUUAUUCCUGUUGCUUUCCCUGCAGAGAUGACCAGGUGGCACCAACUCUCCUUGUUUUCUCCAGUGUCUUACUGUUGCAGGGCCACAUUCUUGUUCAUGGUGUGGCGGGCUUCAAGCUUUUGUGGCCCCUGGAUGUUUGUGAGCUAAAGGAAAAAGCACGUCAAUAGAAAUGCUGUGCGCUGACUCUGGGUUCCUUGCAAAUGAGGCUUGCAGUGCAUUUGCCUAUAUAAAUAAACCUUUCACACCAGGUGAAAAUGCCAUUUACCUUAGUGCAAAUGUGGAGUAUUCAGGUCUUCUUCGGGUCUUCUCCAGUCAUUCUGUGAGGCAUGGUGUCCCCUCACUCUACUACAGUAGGUUGUAGGGAGAGAUCCCAACAUCUAUACCAAAGACCAUGUCCCUUUGGGCGUCGUCACAGGUAUGUAGGAGGGGUAGAAAAGGAUGAGAGAGAGCGCCCCCCCCCUCGGGAUUGGGCCAGCAUUGGGAAGCAUUCUGGG